GAUGAAGAACGUAGUGAAAUGCGAUAAGUAAUGUGAAUUGCAGAAUUCAGUGAAUCAUCGAAUCUUUGAACGCACCUUGCGCUCCUUGGUAUUCCAAGGAGCAUGCCUGUUUGAGUAUCAUUAAAUUAUCAACUGUGCCAAUUUGGUUACAGAUUGGAUGUGGGAGAUUCUUUUUGCAGGCCUUUGACUUCUCUUUGAGAAAAAAAAUAAAAGGUCGUCUCUCCUGAAAUGUAUUAGCAGUGCCUUUGUUGGUUCAUUAGGUGUGAUAAAUUGUCUACAUCUUCGCAUGAUACCUUCAUUUGUAAAGGUCAUAUUGCUUCUAAAUUGUCUUUGAUUGGACGCAAAACAUAUAUAAUGUUUGACAAACUUGAUCUCAAAUCAGGCAGGACUACCCGCUGAACUUAAGCAUAUCAAUAAGCGGAGGA
rnacentral:misc_RNA from 1 species